rnacentral:rRNA from 1 species
GUAGACAGCUUUGAACACGCGUGAGUAAUACGGAGUGUGGAAUCGGUAAUUGAUGUGACUAUGCUGCAAUCGUGCGAAGGCGAGAUGAUAAGUUAGAUGUGAAAUCACCGAGGUCAAUAUGGGAAUUGAAUUUGAUAUGUGGCUGUUAGAGACUUGUAGACGGGGGUAGGAAUCCAGGGGCAGCGGUGAAAUGCAUAGAGAUCUGGAGGGAUACCGGUGUCGGAGGCGGCCCACUUGAGAAUUACUGACGCUGAGGUGCGAUAGCGUGGUGAGCAAUCAGGAUUAGAUACCCUGGUAGUC